rnacentral:rRNA from 1 species
GUGAGGAAUAUUGGUCAAUGGACGAGAGUCUGAACCAGCCAAGUCGCGUGAAGGAAGACGGUUCUAUGAAUUGUAAACUUCUUUUGUGCAGGAAUAAAGUGGGUUACGUGUAACCUUUUGUAUGUACUGUACGAAUAAGGAUCGGCUAACUCCGUGCCAGCAGCCGCGGUAAUACGGAGGAUCCGAGCGUUAUCCGGAUUUAUUGGGUUUAAAGGGUGCGUAGGUGGAUUGAUAAGUCAGUGGUGAAAGUUUGCAGCUUAACUGUAAAAUUGACGUUGAAACUGUCGGUCUUGAGUGCAAAUGAGGUAGGCGGAAUGUGUUGUGUAGCGGUGAAAUGCUUAGAUAUUACAUGGAAUACCAAUUGCGAAGGCAGGUUACUACUUGUGGAUUGACGCUGAUGGACGAAAGCGUGGGGAGCGAACAGGAUUAGAAACCCGGGUAGUCC